UGCGUCAACCGGGAGUCGAACCCGGGUCACCUGCUUGGAAGGCAGGUAUCAUGGCCGUUAGACUAUUGACGCUA
rnacentral:tRNA from 1 species